rnacentral:rRNA from 1 species
UCGAGAAUACUUCACAAUGGGGGAAACCCUGAUGGUGCAACGCCGCGUGGAGGAUGAAGGUCUUCGGAUUGUAAACUCCUGUCAUCCGGGAGUAAGACCUGGCGGUCAAUAGCCGACAGGGUUGAUAGUACCGGAAGAGGAAGGGACGGCUAACUUCGUGCCAGCAGCCGCGGUAAUACGAAGGUCCCAAGCGUUGUUCGGAAUCACUGGGCGUAAAGGGAGCGUAGGCGGCGUGGUAAGUCAGAUGUGAAAUCCCGGGGCUCAACCCCGGAACUGCAUCCGAUACUGCCAUGCUUGAGGGUUGGAGAGGUGACUGGAAUUCUCGGUGUAGCAGUGAAAUGCGUGGAUAUCGAGAGGAACACUCGUGGCGAAGGCGAGUCACUGGACAACAUCUGACGCUGAGGCUCGAAGGCCAGGGUAGCGAAAGG